UAAGACGAACCGUCCAAACGUUAUUCGGAAUCACUGGGCUUACAGAGUUCGUAGGCGGUCUGGAAAGUUGGGUGUGAAAUCCCUCGGCUCAACCGAGGAACUGCGCUCAAAACUACCCGACUCGAGGGAGAUAGAGGAAAGCGGAACUGAUGGUGGAGCGGUGAAAUGCGUUGAUAUCAUCAGGAACACCGGUGGCGAAGGCGGCUUUCUGGGUCUUACCUGACGCUGAGGAACGAAAGCUAGGGGAGCGAACGGGAUUAGAUACCCCGGUAGUCCUAGCCGUAAACGAUGAGCACUAGGUCGUGGGCCUCCACAGGCCCUCGGCCGUAGCGAAAGUGUUAAGUGCUCCGCCUGGGGAGUAUGGUCGCAAGGCUG
rnacentral:rRNA from 1 species